UACGGGGGGGGCAAGCGUUGUUCGGAAUUACUGGGCGUAAAGGGCUCGUAGGCGGCCAACUAAGUCGGAUGUGAAAUCCCCAAGCUUAACUUGGGAACUGCAUCCGAUACUGGAUGGCUUGAAUCCGGGAGAGGGAUGCAGAAUUCCAGGUGUAGCGGUGAAAUGCGUAGAUAUCUGGAGGAAUACCGGUGGCGAAGGCGGCAUCCUGGACCGGCAUUGACACUGAUGAGCGAAAGCCAGGGGAGCAAACGGG
rnacentral:rRNA from 1 species